GACGAACGCUGGCGGCGUGCUUAACACAUGCAAGUCGAGCGAUGAAGUUCCUUCGGGAAUGGAUUAGCGGCGGACGGGUGAGUAACACGUGGGUAACCUGCCUCAUAGAGGGGAAUAGCCUUCCGAAAGGAAGAUUAAUACCGCAUAAGAUUGUAGUAUCGCAUGAUACAGCAAUUAAAGGAGCAAUCCGCUAUGAGAUGGACCCGCGUCGCAUUAGCUAGUUGGUGAGGUAACGGCUCACCAAGGCGACGAUGCGUAGCCGACCUGAGAGGGUGAUCGGCCACAUUGGGACUGAGACACGGCCAAGACUCCUACGGGAGGCAGCAGUGGGGAAUAUUGCACAAUGGGGGAAACCCUGAUGCAGCAACGCCGCGUGAGUGAUGACGGUCUUCGGAUUGUAAAGCUCUGUCUUCAGGGACGAUAAUGACGGUACCUGAGGAGGAAGCCACGGCUAACUACGUGCCAGCAGCCGCCGUAA
rnacentral:rRNA from 1 species